rnacentral:rRNA from 1 species
GAUGAACGCUGACAGAAUGCUUAACACAUGCAAGUCUUUGGCGAAGCUGUGCUUGCACAGCCUAGCCAAGGCGGACGGGUGAGUAACGCGUAAGGAACUUGCCCUGCAGUCAGGGAUAACAGACGGAAACGACUGAUAAGACCUGGUAAAGUCAGGCGGACUCAUGUCCAGCCUGAUGAAAAGAGAUGCUGCAGGAGAGCCUUGCGUCCUAUUAGCUUGUUGGUGGGGUAACGGCCCACCAAGGCGAUGAUAGGUAGCCGGCCUGAGAGGGUGGACGGCCACAAGGGGACUGAGAUACGGCCCUUACUCCUACGGGAGGCAGCAGUGGGGAAUAUUGGACAAUGGGGGCAACCCUGAUCCAGCAAUUCUGUGUGCACGAUGAAGGUUUUCGGAUUGUAAAGUGCUUUCAGCAGGGUAGAAAAAAAUGACGGUACCUGCAGAAGAAGCGACGGCUAAAUACGUG